rnacentral:rRNA from 1 species
UACGUAGGGGGCUAGCGUUGUCCGGAAUCAUUGGGCGUAAAGAGCGUGUAGGCGGCCCGGUAAGUCCGCUGUGAAAGUCGGGGGCUCAACCCUCGAAUGCCGGUGGAUACUGUCGGGCUAGAGUGCGGAAGAGGCGAGUGGAAUUCCUGGUGUAGCGGUGAAAUGCGUAGAUAUCGGGAGGAACACCGGUGGCGAAGGCGGAUCUCUGGGCCUGUCCUGACGCUCAGGCGCGAAAGCUAGGGGAGCGAACAGG